rnacentral:rRNA from 1 species
AUUGAACGCUGGCGGCCGGCCUAACACAUGCAAGUCGCGCGGAUGAAGGGAGCUUGCUCCUGGCUUCAGCGGCGGACGGGUGAGUAAUGCCUAGGAAUCUGCCUGGUAGUGGGGGCUAACGUCCGGACACGGGCGCUAAUACCGCAUACGUCCUGAGGGAGAAAGUGGGGGCUCUUCGGACCCCACGCUAUCAGAUGAGCCUAGGUCGGAUUAGCUAGUUGGUGGGGUAAAGGCCUACCAAGGCGACGAUCCGUAACUGGUCUGAGAGGAUGAUCAGUCACAGUGGAAGUGAGACACGGUCCAGACUCCUAAGGGAGGCAGCGAUAGGGAAUAUGGAACAAUGGGCGAGAGCGUGAGCCAGCCAUGCGGCGUGGGUGAAGAAGGGCUGCGGAUUGUAAAGCACUGUAGGUGGGGAGGAAGGGCAGUAAGUUAAUACCUUGCUGUUUUGACGUUACCAACAGAGUAAGCACCGGCUAACGUCGUG